AGGGAGCUAGUCCAAAGAAAGACCCUUGAUUUCGGCUCAAAUAAUUGCGGUGUAAACCCGUAACUCCCUU
ensembl:Mt_tRNA